rnacentral:rRNA from 1 species
GAUGAACGCUGGCGGCGUGCUUAACACAUGCAAGUCGAACGGAAAGGCUCCUGCUUGCAGGGGUACUCGAGUGGCGAACGGGUGAGUAACACGUGGGUGAUCUGCCCUGCACUUCGGGAUAAGCCUGGGAAACUGGGGCUAAUACCGGAUAGGACGAUGGUUUGGAUGCCAUUGUGGAAAGUUUUUUCGGUGUGGGAUGGGCUCGCGGCCUAUCAGCUUGUUGGUGGGGUAAUGGCCUACCAAGGCGUCGACGGGUAGCCGGCCUGAGAGGGUGUACGGCCACAUUGGGACUGAGAUACGGCCCAGACUCCUACGGGAGGCAGCAGUGGGGAAUAUUGCACAAUGGGCGGAAGCCUGAUGCAGCGACGCCGCGUGGGGGAUGACGGCCUUCGGGUUGUAAACUGCUUUCGCCAGUGACGAAGCGUGAGUGACGGUAACUGGUGAAGAAGCACCGGCUAACUACGUG